rnacentral:rRNA from 1 species
GCGGCAGCUUACACAUGCAGUCGAGCGGAGUGAUGGUGCUUGCACUAUCACUUAGCGGCGGACGGGUGAGUAAUGCUUAGGAAUCUGCCAUUUAGUGGGGGACAACAUUCCGAAAGGAAUGCUAAUACCGCAUACGUCCUACGGGAGAAAGCAGGGGAUCUUCGGACCUUGCGCUAAAUGAUGAGCCUAAGUCGGAUUAGCUAGUUGGUGGGGUAAAGGCCUACCAAGGCGACGAUCUGUAGCGGGUCUGAGAGGAUGAUCCGCCACACUGGGACUGAGACACGGCCCAGACUCCUACGGGAGGCAGCAGUGGGGAAUAUUGGACAAUGGGCGGAAGCCUGAUCCAGCCAUGCCGCGUGUGUGAAGAAGGCCUUUUGGUUGUAAAGCACUUUAAGCGAGGAGGAGGCUACUAGUACUAAUACUACUGGAUAGUGGACGUUACUCGCAGAAUAAGCACCGGCUAACUCUGUGCCAGCAGCCGCGGUAAUACAGAGGGUGCGAGCGUUAAUCGGAUUUACUGGGCGUAAAGCGUGCGUAGGCGGCUGAUUAAGUCGGAUGUGAAAUCCCUGAGCUUAACUUAGGAAUUGCAUUCGAUACUGGUCAGCUAGAGUAUGGGAGAGGAUGGUAGAAUUCCAGGUGUAGCGGUGAAAUGCGUAGAGAUCUGGAGGAAUACCGAUGGCGAAGGCAGCCAUCUGGCCUAAUACUGACGCUGAGGUACGAAAGCAUGGGGAGCAAACAGGAUUAGAUACCCUGGUAGUCCAUGCCGUAAACGAUGUCUACUAGCCGUUGGGGCCUUUGAGGCUUUAGUGGCGCAGCUAACGCGAUAAGUAGACCGCCUGGGGAGUACGGUCGCAAGACUAAAACUCAAAUGAAUUGACGGGGGCCCGCACAAGCGGUGGAGCAUGUGGUUUAAUUCGAUG